AAACUUAAAGAAAUUGACGGAAAGGCACCACCAGGCGUGGAACUUGCGGCUCAAUUUGACUCAACACGGGAAAUCUCACCAGACCCGAACAUCUCUAACGAUUGACAGAUUGAAAGCUCUUUCUUAAUGAAGUGGACGGUGGUGCAUGGCGGUUCUUAGUUGGUGGAGUGAUUUGUCUGCUUAAUUGCGAUAACGAACGAGACCUUGACCUACUAAAUAGCUCUACUUGCGAUUGCAGGUAGCUAGCUUCUUAGAGGGACUAUCUAUUACAAGUAGAUGGAAGUUCGAGGCAAUAACAGGUCUGUGAUGCCCUUAG
rnacentral:rRNA from 1 species